CACGGAGUUAGCCGGAGCUUAUUCUCCAGGUACUGUCAUUAUCAUCCCUGGUAAAAGAGCUUUACAACCCUAAGGCCUUCAUCACUCACGCGGCAUUGCUGGAUCAGGCUUUCGCCCAUUGUCCAAUAUUCCCCACUGCUGCCUCCCGUAGGAGUCUGGGCCGUGUCUCAGUCCCAGUGUGGCUGAUCAUCCUCUCAGACCAGCUAAAGAUCGUCGCCUUGGUAGGCCUUUACCCCACCAACUAGCUAAUCUUACGCGGGCUCAUCCUUGGGCGAUAAAUCUUUGGUCCGAAGACAUUAUACGGUAUUAGCACAAAUUUCUCUGAGUUAUUCCGUACCCAAGGGCAGAUUCCCACGCGUUACGCACCCGUGCGCCACUAAGUCCGAAGACUUCGUUCGACUUGCAUGUGUUAGGCAUGCCGCCAGCGUUCGUUCUGAGCCAGGAUCAAACUCU
rnacentral:rRNA from 1 species